rnacentral:lncRNA from 1 species
UUGUUAAAAAUCACUUUCAUGGGUGUCGCUGAACCCACCUUGCUUUAGCAGGAUCAUCUAACGAAGUUCCCAAAAUUUCAGCAAACUCAGGAUCUUUAUCAUAAUUCAUUUCUUCAUCUCUACCCUUUGGGGAAAACUCAUCUUCCACUUUAUCCCAAUCAAUAUCAACCAAAUCAUUAUCAUCAUGCACUUCUUCGUCUUCUUCUGCUUCCAAUUGUUUGAUUUGUGUGAACAAAUCCGUUGAUUUUGGUACUCUGUUUUCACCAGCUUUAACCACGAAUUUGCAUGAGU